rnacentral:tRNA from 1 species
GGUGGAGCAGUGGCAGCUCGUCGGGCUCAUAACCCGAAGGUCGCAGAGCGAGGGCUUCAUAAUCCCUAGGUCGGUGGUUCAAGUCCACCCGUCGCCA